rnacentral:tRNA from 1 species
GAUGGAGUGGCCGAGAGGCAAGGCAGCGGUCCGCAAAACCGUGUACGCGGGUUCGAAUCCCGCCUCCAUCUCCG